rnacentral:rRNA from 1 species
GACGAAGGAUGCAAGCGUUAUCCGGAUUCAUUGGGUUUAAAGGGAGCGUAGGUGGGCUUGUAAGUCAGUGGUGAAAUCUUUGGGCUUAACCCAGAAACUGCCAUUGAUACUGCAGGUCUAGAGUACAGUUGCCGUUGGCGGAAUAUGACAUGUAGUGGUGAAAUACUUAGAUAUGUCAUAGAACACCGAUUGCGAAGGCAGCUAACGAAGCUGUAACUGACACUGAGGCUCGAAAGUGCGGGGAUC